AUUGAACGCUGGCGGCAGGCCUAACACAUGCAAGUCGAACGAGUGGCGGACGGGUGAGUAAUGGCUGGGAAACUGCCUGAUGGAGGGGGAUAACUGCUGGAAACGUUAGCUAAUACCGCAUACCAUCGGAUGUGCCCAGAUGGGUUUAGCUAGUAGGGGUGGUAAAGGCUAACAUAGGCGACUAUCCCUAGCUGGGCUGAGAGGAUGACCAGCAACACUGGGACUGAGACACGGGCCAGACUCCUACGGGAGGCAGCAGUGGGGAAUAGUGGACAAUGGGCGGAAGCCUGAUGCAGCCAUGCCGCGUGUAUGAAGAAGGUCUUCGGGUUGUAAAGUACUUUCAGCGGGGAGGCGUUACCCGCAGAAGAAGCACCGGCUAACUCCGUGCCAGCAGCCGCGGUAAUUC
rnacentral:rRNA from 1 species